rnacentral:RNase_P_RNA from 1 species
CUCCCGGCAACGGGAGCGGCAUGGCAAACCCCACCGGGAGCAAGACCAAAUAGGGACGGCGAGCCGCCUUUCUCCGCACGCGGGGGAAGCGGCAGGCGGGUUUUUGAGCCGCCGUCCGGGUCGGUCGCGGGAGGCGCCCGGUAACGGGCGUCCCAGAUGAAUGGCCAUCCAUCGCCCGGGUUCGCCCGGGCGGGGACAGAACCCGGCUUACAGGCCGUCUGACGCG